UAGUACAUAUAUCAUGGACUUAAGUCUUAAAUAACCUUAAAAGAAAGAAAAAAAAAAGUUCAAUUAUUAGAGAUGACAAAUAUUAGGGGAUUGAGUUUAACCAUUUUGUUAAUUAGUGUUGUUUUAGCUUCUACCCUCCUACAUGGAGCUUUUGGAAGUAUUGACCCCUUUCAGGCAGCUUUAGUUCAUUGCAAUGCUGGCCCUAUUGAAAAACAAAAUUGUUGCAAAGCACUAAGUGUUGCUGUAAACAAUGAGAGAUUUUGCUGGUCUUCUUUGUUUGGACAGAUUUUUGUUGCUGAUCUUAUUAAUUGUCGUGUUAUUCCAAAGUGCUAAAGUACUUGCCUAACAACAAAAGAAUGUCAAACAAGAAAUCAAUUAGCUGGUGUUUUGACAUUGAUUUUCUACUAUUUCUAGAGAGGGAAAAAAAAAACAAAGAAUGAAAAGUUGAGUGUUA